GGGGUGAUAGAAUGAUGAUAUAGGGUAUUUUGUGCUGGUCCUUAAGGUCUCUGAAUAGGGUGUGUAACAUUGGUUGGGCUGAAAAUGGCAUAUGUGCUGUUCUAUGCGCCCUAAUGCAAGCCUGGUUAAAAGCCCUAGAAUGAAACGAGAGGUUUUCUUCCUUUUAUGGUAUGCUCAUGAAUAUUUAGAUGAACUGCGUGCUGAUUGGUUGGUUUACAACGAGCGAAGCUCCGGAGCAAAGACGCAUACAUGACAGACAGCACUCACCUGAAACAGCCAAGGUGGAAAUACUAUGGAGACAUAGGUGUUGAACAGCAUAUUUGACCCUGAAUCAGAGGAAGAAUCUGAAAUAGAGGAGCAACCAGUCGCCCAUAGAUUGGAAAUGACUACUUCAGAGUGUUAUGAAAAGAAGGUUCCUGAGGAGCUGACCUGAAUGACCAUCAUGGCCUCGAUCCGUUGUGCCUCUAUAUUUAUUCUUUGCAAAAUGCAAUGAAUAUUUACAGAGCUGACCAUGGCCGUUUGAGAAUCAGAGGGAUGGAAAGGCAAUGAAGUGACUUGGCCUACAGGUCUUUUGUGAGCAGAUGCUUGGGUUUCCUUAGAAGAAGCGUCCGUGUCAUGAUCCCCCUCGUGUGUGGUGCUACGCAUAUGGAGGGAGCGUCCGGAUACUUCAGGGCAGUACGUUGGAUUCAGACCCCUUGUCGACUGAACCGUGACUCAUGUUCAGCAACAGCAUCUCCAUGGAAGGUCUGUCAAGCUGAGCCCACAAGUCCUGGGGCACAGGAAUCCGCUGGACGGCAUCCCAAUCAGGAAGAGGGUCUUUGAUGAUCUCGAAGAGAACAAGAAAGAGGACUUUUGGAUAUUGGAUACUGUAAUACAGUGCAUUGUAAGCUGUAUACUGUACAAUAAACAAAUUGUAUGGCCCUGAACAUUGUGCUUUGUUUACAGUACU